UACGUAGGGUGCGAGCGUUGUCCGGAAUUAUUGGGCGUAAAGAGCUCGUAGGCGGUCUGUCGCGUCGGUCGUGAAAACUUGGGGCUUAACCCUGAGCUUGCGGUCGAUACGGGCAUGACUGGAGUUCGGCAGGGGAGACUGGAAUUCCUGGUGUAGCGGUGAAAUGCGCAGAUAUCAGGAGGAACACCGGUGGCGAAGGCGGGUCUCUGGACCAGCACUGACGCUGAGGCACGAAAGCGUGGGGAGCAAACGGG
rnacentral:rRNA from 1 species